UACGGGGGGAGCAAGCGUUGUUCGGAUUUACUGGGCGUAAAGGGCGCGUAGGCGGCCAGUGCAAGUCAGUUGUGAAAUCUCGAGGCUCAACUUCGAGCUGUCGGUGGAAACUAUCUGGCUAGAGUCCGGAAGAGGAGAAUGGAAUUCCUGGUGUAGCGGUGAAAUGCGCAGAUAUCAGGAAGAACACCCGUGGCGAAGGCGGUUCUCUGGGACGGUACUGACGCUGAGACGCGAAAGCGUGGGGAGCGAACAGG
rnacentral:rRNA from 1 species